AUGCAGCUGUGGACCCUGGAGGGCGCGAAGGAGGCGUUGGGCGACAAGGUGAUCAUCGACCGCCUCGACAACUGCACUUUCAAGCGUGCGGACACGAAGCUCUUCGCCGUCUGGGUGUGGGUGUGGCAGCUCCACUACAUCCCAACCAAGCGGACGCUUUGGAAGCACGCACGGGGGGCUGGCAGGGUGGAGGAGAUGAUGGGCUUCUCGCCGCCGAGCAGGGUGGUCGCGCCGCCCCCUGACCUGCUCCGAUGGGAUGUCCUGGUGCACAUCGACCGCGUUGAAGACUGG
rnacentral:rRNA from 1 species